rnacentral:SRP_RNA from 1 species
GUUGGGUGCGGCAGCACAGGCCUGUAUUCCCAGCUGCUUGGGAGGCUGAGGCAGGAUCGCUUGAGUCCAGGAGUUCUGGGCUAUAGUAUGCUAUGUCAAUUGGGUGUCCGUACUAAGUUUGAUAUCAAUUUGGUGACCUCCCAGGAACUGGGGACCACCAGGUUGCCUAAGGAGGGAUAAACCAUCCAAGGCUGGAAAUAGAAUAGGUCAAAAUUUUCUUAGCUUCCAAAGCCAUAGGGUCAGAUAGCAAACUGUGUAGAGCCUCAUGUGAAGGAGAAACUGUGUGAU